UGAGAUGGAAGUUUUUAGACCUAUCCUAACAGUCAUGAACAGAAAAAAACACAGUUCACGCAGAGCUAGACAAGAGGAGCGUUUAACCAAUCUUUUCGCUAGAUAAGACCCUUGUUCCUCGGCUGGGAUUGUUUAGAGCCCUUUGAAGCUGCAUUUAAACUGCAUUUUCGAAGUUCAAACUCGAGGGCACCAUAGAAGUCCAUUUUAUGGAGAGGAAUCCUGAAAUGUUUUCCUCAAAAAACAUGAUUUCUUUACGACUGAAGAAAGAAAGAAAAUGAUGAUAAGGGGCACUGUUUGAGUCAUCUACACCUCAUUUACCGGAGGACAAGAGUGGAUGCAAAAUUGAUAGGCCAUCAGCUGACAGAGCACCUCUGGGAAUUAGACAGUGAUUUCCCUUGCACCUUGCCAUUCACAGGGUCUGAGACGGGGAGCUAAUUGAUUCCUGACAGGCUUUCCUAACAACAGUUCAAACAACCUUUUAUCAAGGAGCUUGCAGAGCACGAGAGAACGUGGAGACAGAGGCAGGUCGGACCCGUCAACACAAUGGCAGAUUAGAGGCCAAGAGAAGGUGGGAGAGAACAAAGGAGGGGGUUUCAACAGAAAUCUGAAUGCAAAAUGUCAAACUGGUCUGACAGAGACGUCGAGGAUCGCAGGUUUUCUAGGAGCUGGUGUGACGGAGCUGGAUGCAGCUAAGUAGACAGAACACGAACACGAACACACACACACACACGAGACUUGGCGCAACAGGUAAGUAAUUCAGCCUAGGUUUGAGUCCUUUUCCACUUGUGAGAUCAGACAAUGUGGUUGUGUGGAAUGUGUGUUCUUAUAGUGCUGUGUGGGUGAUUGGUGAAUGACAAUCAGGUGUGCGUGAUUAGUAUUCUGCUGAUUGUGAGCGCUGAUAGGUGGAAGAGCCUGACAUAUCCAUGACAGUAAUUGUGACUUUUUUUCUCACAAUUGCAAAUUAAUCAGACUUUUUCUCACAAUUUCAAGUUUAUAUUUCGCAUUCGCAAGUAAUAUAAACUCGUUACUGCAAUUUACUUGCAAUUCAGAUUUUUUCUCUGAAUUCCAUCUCAUAAUUCAGUUUUUUUUUUCUGCCACUGAGAAAAAAAAAGUACUUACUCUAACCCUAACUUUUUUAUCGCACAAUUCUGUUUUUCCUCAGAGAUGCGUCUUGCAAGUCUACCAUUUUUUUUUCUUUUCUCUUAGAAUUGCGAUAUUUCACAAUUCUUACUUUUCUCUUUCUUUUCUUUUCCUUUUUUUUUUUUUUUUUUAAAUCCUUUAUUUUAUUUUAUCCUUUGGAAGGAACAAGCUUCCCGUAUAUUACUGAAAAUGAUUAUUUUGUUAUUUUGCAUCUUUAAAAUGCAUUCCUAAAUAUAUUUUAUAUACAACUUAUGACAAAUAAAUACAGAGAUGUCCAAACAGGAUGGCUUUCUAGUUGUCAAUAUCUCUUGUGGGUCAGUAUCUCUGUAGGAUUACUUAUCAUUUGUGUCUGUCGGUCUACAGGAAGUUAACAUGGUGAUAUCUGGGAUCUUGCUUUCCACACAGGAGCAACUGCAGUGAUGCAGCACCGAUUAUCCCCAGAGCCACCGUUCUUUACUCUCUGUCAAGGUUUAUGAUCUCAGACAAGACUGCAGUCUAUUUCUAGACUACUAAAGACAACUAGUUGUAGAUGAGUUACUGCGGCCCAAGCAGCAGGAAGGAAGCUUCCAUUCCCCAGGAGCAGCAGUGUCAGCAUGACUUACACUCUUCCAGAAAUAGUCUACUGAUAGGAGGCCUUGUGGGAAUACAGUGCACAGUAAGAUGGGUGACUUCAAUAGCACAGACGGCCUG